ensembl:lncRNA
CUGAAGAUGGCUCCUGAGAUUUGUAGGCUAGUGUUUGCCCAUUUAACACUUUUUUUUCCAUAAAGCCGACAUAUGGAUUUAUCCAAAUUUAUUGGUUCACCUCUCUUGUUAGGCACAAAUCCAAAAUGUUCCCAGAUCGCCAAUUUAACAUUUGGUUUCCCAACAAGAUCCAUCACAGUGGCAGAACCCGAAGUGAAAUCGCAGAAUUCACCUGACUGAUUUGUUUGGCACCUGACUGCGCUCAAACAAACCUGCACCAAACUAACAGACAACACCAUAUAAGGCAUUUGAUUAUGAUUACGGAAUUUGUGUAUUAACCUAAAAUCUCACACUAUACGGUAGGCUACAAAUACAAAUUAAUAUUGCAACUGUUAUCAUUAUUACACUUGUAUACAAACGUUGUACUUUGUACUUGUUAUAAUGCCCAUUCUAGCAGAAACAUUAACGUGGCGUGUGAUGUGACACUACUGCAGGUAGUCAUGGCCACCGUCACAGCCCUAAUGAAGGUUCUUAAUUCAUUAGAAUUAAGAUAGCAAAUCUUGAAGAUAUUUUGUCACUCAUGCAAGGGUCCUUUAUGAGAUGAAAACCAAUUCAAUCCCUCAGACAAAUGUAAAACCUGCUCCCGAUCCACCCUGACUACAGUGGGAAAAAUAGGUUGGUUAGGUUUAAGAGAAAAUAUUAAAUAUAGUUUACAUUAAAAUAUUUAAAGUGGUCAGUGAGUUUUAAGAGAAAAUAUUAAAUAUAGUUUACAUUAAAAUAUUUAGUAAAAAAUGUUUUGUUUGUAAAUUGGCAGACAGAAUGUUCCUGUAAAGUUCUGAAUUCAUUGUACUGCUACCAUCAUGAGUUACAUCAUCAAUAAAGAUUAGUGAGCUUUUUCCAGGAGGAGCCAUGCAAGCCCAAUCUAUGACACUACAUGCUUCACAGAUGAGCUUGUAUGUUUUGGAUCAUGAGCAGAUCCUUCCUUUCUCCACACUUUGGCCUUUCCAUCGUUUGAUAGAGGAUAAUCUUAGUUUCAUAACACUUAUGGCUCUUCUCUUUAUUUCUUUGGGAACUCCAAUCUGGCUUUCUGAUUCUUACUGCUGAUGAGUGGAUUGCAUCUUGUUGUAUGGUCUCUAUAUUUCUGCUCUCUUCAUCGAAUGGUGGAUUAUGUUACCUUCACCUCUGCCCUAUCAAGGUUGUUGGUGAUGUCACUGACUGUUGUUUUUUGUUUUUUCUUCACAGCUCAUUCAUUCAUCGGUCAACCCAUUCGGUAUAUGUUGCUCAGUACACCAGUGGUUUCUUUCUUAUUCAGGACAUUCCAUAUUGUUGUAUUGGCUAUGCCCAAAGUCUGUGCAAUGCCUCUAAUUUAUUUUCCCUAUUUUCUCAGCUUCAAAAUGGCUUGAUUUACUCCCAUAGACAGCUCUCUGGUCUUCAUGUUGGCUUAUCCUUUUUAACAACAUGCAGUCUUGACAGGUGAAACUGAAGGCUAAAACCAAGAGUAGAUGUUCAUAGCUAUUUAUUGUUUUAAAAAAAUCAAUCUAACAGGACACACCUAGGUAACAAGAAACACCUGUCCGUCACAUGUUCCAAUAUUUUUGCUCACCUACAAAUUGGGUUCUCAGAUACAAAAUGUUCUGUGUUCUAUUUUGUUUAACACAGCUAUAUAUAAAUACCAGGAAAUAAAAGCUGAAAUUCUAAACUCUUUACUCAUAUUCAUCUUUUGAUCUCAAACCCAAAU